AAAGUCGUAACAAGGUUUCCGUAGGUGAACCUGCGGAAGGAUCAUUACAAAUCUAGGGGGCAGUAGUGUUGGUGGGGAGGGGUUGGCGGUAGGGAGGUUUUGCUUCGGCUGGCCGACCUACCAACCUGACCCAACCACAUCACUCUGCUGCACCCACAUUAGCACAGGGCUGCAAGGCUCUGAUGUUUACGCUUGUUUGUUUGACAGAUUUACUGAGACUAAAAUAUAGACAACUUUUAACAAUGGAUCUCUUGGCUCUU
rnacentral:misc_RNA from 1 species